UUUUUUGUUGGCAAAAGGUCAGAAACUUUCGUUAUAGUUUACCAAUUGACUAACCUAAGGUACCGAUUUUUAUGGAGCGCUUAUUGUGAUUCGCAUCAGGGCCGUCGAGAAAGGGGGGGCAAACGGGGCAAAAUGCUUCGGGCCCCAACCCCCGUACCGCACCGUUGUACUUGAUUGGAAUGGAGGGAUUGCUGUGCGCUGUGGAAUAUGCUGGGUUGUGUCAUCGAUGUGGUGCAGAAAUGCAAGAAAAAGGGAAAAGAGACCGUGGUUGAGAAUACAGGCCAGUUUACCGUUGGCCAAGAAAAGGGUGUCAGACCACCAAUAUUUUUGUGUCGAAAGAAGAGGGAAGACAUACAAAGGGAGGUUGAUGUUUGGUUCAUCGCUUCAGGCUGAUGAAUUGGAACACCAUUAGAUUACGCGCAUCCAAAAAAUUAAUCAUCAACAAUGUUAUGUGACCCAUCAAACAGAACAAUGUGCCGCUUACAAUCAGUUCCGGUUCAAGAAGUUGCCUGCUGAUGGAGCUAGAGACACAAAGACUUUCUGAUACAGUGAGCAGAGUGAUACAAGGAACAAACUCGGAAUGGGAUCACACAACCUAUGGACCGGAGGCAGGCGCUAAUCUUUGGAAAAUAUACUGAGCGGAUAUGAGGAAUAAAUUAAAGUACUCCAAAUUUGAAUACUAGAAUGACCCACUAUGGUGAACGAUAAAGAGCAGCUGUCCUAAAAAAGUCCAGAAAAGAGGAAGCGAGCUUAGAUAUAACCGCUACUGCGAUGCUGUUGACAGGACAGCAGUGAUUGGAGCCUGCACAUUUUCUUGGAACACCCUCAAAACAAUUAUUGCAAUGCCAUUAUCACUAAAUAACCGGCCAGCUCCUAGGCCAUAACACGAGGAAGUUUUUUCAGAGAACACCAUUUUGAUAACUGAGAAGUUAUUUUCAAGCACAGUAGAUAUAAGUAUCCCAACGGUUGUAUUUAAAGCGGGUCAGGUGCUUCUAUAGUCAGUGAUCUGCCUAGUAUAGAUGAAACUACCCAACUUAGAGCAAGGAAUCUGUAAAAUGGCUAUAUGCAAGAUACCUACAUGGAAUUGGAAAAGUGCGGCUGGAGCAUAUUUGUACGCAAAUAUUACACCCCCAAAUGCACCUCCAGAAAAUAUAGUUGAGCAAGUGCGUGAUCAUGAUCAGAUCGCAGAUCAGUCUCACACCUUUGAGUUCCAUUACAGCCAAGAAAAAUCGAAGAGGUGUUAUUUAACUGCAGAUUUGAAUAUUAAGUUGAUGCACUAUGAAGAACGAUGCUUUGAGCGUAUCCCUCUAGAGGUGAAAAAACCUCUACAUUUAAUACUCCACGUGACAAAACCACUAAAUUUCAGGGUACUUUUAUCUAUUAUGCUAUAUUUUUACGCACUUAAAAAAUAGUUUAUUGAAUUUAAUUAAUCCUAGUAGAAAUGUUACUAUCUGCAAUUUGUUAUGUUUUUUUUUUGUUAUUUUGUAUGUGUUUGUAUUUUAGAGUUAUUAUCAAUUACUUAUAGUUAUACUUACUAACCUGGAGAUUUGUUAUGAAUUUAGAUAUAACAUUUUAAUUUGUGGCUAUUUUAUGCAUGAUUAUGUUGUUGUUAUAGUUAUAGGAGGGGUGGUAGACCGCCUAUUUGACGAACU